CUCCAGCCCCUAUAUUAAACCUACUGUACAUCUUCCUCAACCUCUGUACCAAAAUCCUUUACACCAAAGAAAACAACGGACACCCCUUCCAACUCAGGCUCAUCAGAUGUUCAACCGUCCUCCCCUCCUGAUAGCAUAACCAGUAGCGCUUCAUCAGACAGCUGCCCAUCACGCUACUCCUCAGGUGUCCAUGUGGCUGCUAGAGUUGCUGCCACUAUCAGUCUGUUUGUGGCUGUGAUCAUAGUUGUGGUCAUCCACAGGAAGAGAUCAGGGGACCCCCAGUUCAAACCCAACACCUUGGCUCCUAGUGUUGGAUCAGCUGGAACCAGCCAGUCCUUGUAGCCUUGAUCUCCUUAUGGGCUCUAUAGACCCAGCUGUUGACAGAGUCUCCAUCACCUGAGUCCACCUCCAUCCCCUGCACAUUAGGAGCUACAGGAUGCCAGGCUGGGGUUUAGGGAGUUAACAGUUUAACUGCUUUAAGUACGGAAAGUCUGAAAACCUCUCUGCCUGCUAACCCCUAUAAGACAUCGUCUUUCGCACAGCAUAGAUAGCUUUGGUUCUGUUUAGAUACUAACAAUAUAUAAUAUGUACACAUUUAAUACUUAUCUCACCUACCUCUAUAUGUAACUACUCAUAUGUCUUUAUAUAAUGGAUUUGUUCACUGUUUUGUUCAUUUGUUCACUGUGUUUUACCUAAAUACAUUUCACAUAUUUUUUUGUAAUUGGACUACUACAUUAUUUGCUCUUUCAUAGUAGUCUGUGAGACAACACACGCAUGUUAAUUUUUUAAAAGUGGAAAUUAAAAAGCAUAUGGCUGAACCUCUUUAUGA